rnacentral:rRNA from 1 species
GCGCAGCAGUCGAGAAACUUUACAAUGUGCGAAAGCACGAUAAGGGAACUCUGAGUGCCUCCUAAGGAGGCUGUUCAGGUGUCUAAAAGCACCUGAAGGAAGGGCUGGGUAAGACCGGUGCCAGCCGCCGCGGUAACACCGGCAGCCCAAGUGGUAGCCACGUUUAUUGGGUCUAAAGCGUCCGUAGCCGGCUGGGUAAGUUCCUUGGGAAAUUUGGCUGCUUAACAGUCAAGCUUUCAGGGAAUACUGCCCGGCUUGGGACCGGGAGAGGUCAGAGGUACUCCAGGGGUAGGGGUGAAAUCCAUUAAUCCUUGGGGGACCACCGGUAGCGAAGGCGUCUGACCAGACCGGGUCCGACGGUGAGGGACGAAGGCUAGGGGCGCGAACCGGAUUAGAUA